GGUCCGAUCCACCUCGUCCAGGCUUGUGGCUAUUGAUUUCCUCUUCUUCGCCAUAGCUACCAAUUUCCCGAUUCCACCGAUUGAUUUUAUUUAUCAAAUUUGUUCAAUUACUAAAAAAUUUCCCCUAAUUUCCCUUAAAAAAAUAAAUAAAGGAGUCCUGCAAAGAAGAUGAUGAAAAUGAGAGGCGAAUUGCUUGUGGUUCUUUUAUACGUGGGAAGGGAAGGUGCCGCAAAGUCGGUAGCGUAGGGUGCAAUACAUUUGAUUAGU
rnacentral:misc_RNA from 1 species